rnacentral:rRNA from 1 species
UGCCCUAGUAACGGCGAGUGAAGCGGCAACAGCUCAAAUUUGAAAUCUGGCUCUUUUAGAGUCCGAGUUGUAAUUUGCAGAGGGCGCUUUGGCUUUGGCAGCGGUCCAAGUUCCUUGGAACAGGACGUCACAGAGGGUGAGAAUCCCGUACGUGGUCGCUGGCUAUUGCCGUGUAAAGCCCCUUCGACGAGUCGAGUUGUUUGGGAAUGCAGCUCUAAAUGGGAGGUACAUUUCUUCUAAAGCUAAAUAUUGGCCAGAGACCGAUAGCGCACAAGUAGAGUGAUCGAAAGAUGAAAAGCACUUUGGAAAGAGAGUCAAACAGCACGUGAAAUUGUUGAAAGGGAAGCGCUUGCAGCCAGACUUGCUUGCAGUUGCUCAUCCGGGCUUUUGCCCGGUGCACUCUUCUGUAGGCAGGCCAGCAUCAGUUUGGGCGGUAGGAUAAAGGUCUCUGUCACGUACCUCUCUUCGGGGAGGCCUUAUAGGGGAGACGACAUACUACCAGCCUGGACUGAGGUCCGCGCAUCUGCUAGGAUGCUGGCGUAAUGGCUGUAAGCGGCCCGUCUUGAAACACGGACCAAGGAGUCUAACAUCUAUGCGAGUGUUUGGGUGUCAAGCCCGAGCGCGUAAUGAAAGUGAACGGAGGUGGGAACCCGCAAGGGUGCACCAUCGACCGAUCCUGAUGUCUUCGGAAGGAUUUGAGUAAGAGCAUGGCUGUUGGGACCCGAAAGAUGGUGAACUAUGCUUGAAUAGGGUGAAGCCAGAGGAAACUCUGGUGGAGGCUCGCAGCGGUUCUGACGUGCAAAUCGAUCGUCA